rnacentral:rRNA from 1 species
UACGUAGGAGGCAAGCGUUAUCCGGAUUUAUUGGGCGUAAAGAGGGCGCAGGUGGUUCUUCAAGUCGGAUGUAAAAUCUCCCGGCUCAACUGGGAGGGAUCGUUCGAUACUGUUGGACUAGAGGACAGCAGAGGAAGGUGGAAUUCCCGGUGUAGAGGUGAAAUUCGUAGAGAUCGGGAGGAACACCGGUGGCGAAGGCGACUUUCUGGACGAAUACUGACGCUGAGGCGCGAAAGCGUGGGGAGCAAACAGG